GUUUGAAACGACAAAUGAGGACGAGGAAACGGAUACGGACUUUGUUGAACUUUGCAAACCACCGUUCAACCCCUCAGAGUCAGAAGAAAGAUCCAGAACCAAGCAGCAGCCAAGAGCCACAAGUCCAGAGUGGGAGAUGUUCAGAGGGAGCAGAUGCCACAUGUGGUCCAGCCGAUGGAAGGUCUUGAAGUUCUCUGACUGAAGAUGGUCCUCUGACUGGAUUUAAGGUUCAGAUGCUCAGGAACAAACUCCACCAAUGAGCCAACAGGGAAGCUUUAGGUUUAUUAAAUGUUGCUAUGAAGGUAUCGCUGUUUUUCUUUGUGAAUGCAA